rnacentral:rRNA from 1 species
ACUCAAAUGAAUUGACGGGGGCCCGCACAAGCGGUGGAGCAUGUGGUUUAAUUCGAUGCAACGCGAAAAACCUUACCUACCCUUGAAUCCUUGGAAUUGCACAGAAAUGUGCGAGUGCCGUAAGGAACCAAGAGACAGGUGCUGCAUGGCUGUCGUCAGCUCGUGUCGUGAGAUGUUGGGUUAAGUCCCGUAACGAGCGCAACCCCUGUUCAUAGUUGCUAACAGGAAAGCUGAGAACUCUAUGAAGACUGCCGGUGAUAAGCCGGAGGAAGGCGGGGACGACGUCAAGUCAUCAUGGCCCUUACGGGUAGGGCUACACACGUGCUACAAUGGUCGGUACAAAAGGUUGCGAAGUCGCGAGAUGUAGCUAAUCCAAUAAAGCCGAUCUCAGUCCGGAUUGGAGUCUGCAACUCGACUCCAUGAAGCUGGAAUCGCUAGUAAUCGUGGAUCAGCAUGCCACGGUGAAUACGUUCCCGGGCCUUGUACACACCGCCCGU